ACUUUAUUUUUUAUGGGCAGAUGGUGGAUGCCUUGGGACCGGAAGGCGAUGAAGGACGUGGCGUGGCUGCGAUAAGCUUCGGUGAGGUGCCUAGCAACCUUUGACCCGAAGAUCUCCCAAUGGGGAAACCUAACAUUGUAAACCAAUGUUGCGUACUGCUUGCAGUACGAGCAAAACCUGGAGAAGUGAAACAUCCCAGUAUCCAGAGGAAAAGAAAAAAAUGUCAUUGUUUAUCAAUGACGCAUUCCUUUAGUAGCGGCGAGCGAAACAGGAAGUAGCCUAAACCGAGUACAUAAUUUAUUAUGUGCUUGGGGUUGUAGGGAAAUUUCAUCAGGAUCUUGCCCUUUAGGCGUUGUGCUUCGGCACAUGCUUAGAGGGCUGGAUUGCUGAGGAAGUAAUUCAUAAAAUUGUUAGUUGAAUGCUCUGGAAAGAGCAGCUAAAAAAGGUGAUAGCCCUGUAAGCGAAAAUGAUUUUAUGCUUCUUGAAAUUUUUCCUGAGUACCGCCGGAAACGAUAACUUGGCGGGAAUCAAGCUGAACUAUCAGCUAAGGCUAAAUACUAACCGGUCACCGAUAGUGAACCAGUACCGUGAGGGAAAGGUGAAAAGUAGCCCGGUGAGGGCGGUGAAAUAGUACCUGAAACCAUUAUGCCUACAAUGAGUCAGAGCCCUUCGCAUAACUUUGUUAUGCUCAGGGUGAUGGCGUGCUUUUUGUAGAACGAGCCAACGAGUUAUAGUACACAACCAGGCGAAGCCCCUCUGGGGCACAGCCACAGGGAAACCGAGUAUUAAUAGUGCGUAGUCGAUUUAUCGACUUUGUUGUGUGCUAUAGACCCGAAGCCAGGCGAUUUUGCCCUGGGCAGGAUGAACCCCGCCGAAAGGUGGGAGGAGGUCCGAACCCGUAGGUCGUGCAAUUCCUUGGGAUGACCUGGGGCAGGCAGUGAAAAGCUAAUCGAGCUUGGUAAUAGCUGGUUCUCCCCGAAAUAGCUUUAGGGCUAGCUCUUCAUAUUUUUCUGGGGGUAGAGCACUGGAUGGAAUUUCUUGGAUUUAUCCGGAUUUUCCAACCAAACUCCGAAUACCAGAAUGUAUUUUAUGGAGAAGUAAGUCUGCGAGGGCUAAGCUUCGUGGACAAAAGGGAAACAGCCCAGAUCCUCAUCUAAGGUCCCUAAAUUUAAACUAAGUGCAUCAAAGGAGGUGAGAUUCUUUCGACAGCUAGGAGGUUAGCUUAGAGGCAGCUAUCCUUUAAAGAGUGCGUAACAGCUCACUAGUCAAAGAGUUUUGCGCCGAAGAUUCACGGGGCUAAAGUUUAAUACCGAAGAUAGGAAUGUCAGCGCUUUGCGCUGGCGUGGUAGGGGAGCGUUCUCUCGACACUGAAGCCGAACCGUGAGGUUUGGUGGAGUUGAGAGAAGUGAGAAUGUUGGCAUGAGUAACCACAAUUCCGAUGCAAACUCGGAACACCGUAAACCCAAGGUUUCCUUGGCAAUGACAAUCAGCCAAGGGUUAGGCGGACCUAAGGAAAAGCCGAAAGGCGUAUCCGAACGGACAGCCGGUUAAUAUUCCGGCCCUUCGAUUCUUUUUCAAGAGAGUGCGGAAUUUAGUAAGCGGGGCGAGUUAUUGGAUUCACGUUGUUGGCUUGAGCUUUGGCAAGAGCUGACAGGAAGUCCGUCCUCGGACGGGUGAACUCCGCUGAGCAAGUUUCCUAGAAAAGCUCUCAAGAGCUAAAAGAAUUGGAACCGUACCAAAAACCGACACAGGUGGGUAGGCGUUAGUGUGCCAAGGUGAACGAGUGAAACCUCGUCAAGGAACUCGGCAAUCAAGUGACCGUAACUUCGGGAUAAGGUCUCCCUGUGAGGUAGCAAUAUCUCAUGGGGCGCAGCGAAAGUUUCCCUGGCGACUGUUUAUCAAAAACACAGGUCCCUGCUCAACUCGCAAGAGGAUGUAUAGGGGCUGAGGCCUGACCAGUGCUGGAACGUUAACCUCGUCGGUCGCGCACUUUUGUGUGCGGCUAAGCGAGCGAAGCGCCAGUAAACGUCGGCGAUAACUAUAAUCGUCCAAAGGUAUCAACGAUGCUUUUGUAAAACUCGGCUAUAUGCUGGAAAGUCUGGAGUAUCUGGAGCUACUUAUGGUAAAAUAAUUUAAAGGGGUAGUUGGCCCUUAAAUAUUAUGCCAAGUAAAAAUGCUUCCAGUGCAGAUAAUCAGCAGGAAAGGAUAGAAAUGUGUGGAUGGAUAGUCGGCCUUGUAGAUGGAGAAGGAUCAUUUUUGAUCAAUAUAUUCCGUUCUCCAAGAGCCAAAAUGGGUUGGCAAGUUUUUCCAGAAUUUAAUGUUUCUCAAGCAAAAAAAGGAAUAGAUUUGCUCUAUGAGCUGAAAUCAUAGAGACAAGUCAACAUUUGAGUAUAGACGGCAUGAGAAAUAUUGCUAAAAUUGUGGAAGGAAUGACCCACAGAAAACCAUUUAAUCAAUCAUCCGCUUCAAAAUUUCUAUCAUCCUCAGAGACUAUACGCCGAGACCGUUAAUUUUUUGUCAAAAACGAAAAAUAAUAACGGUAAGAUAUAGUCCGAGCUCUACUGCGAGGUAGAGAGAGUGAGUUUAAAUACUCGCUCCGCCCCGCACAUAAAUUAUGUGUUGGGUUAGUACCUGCUUGAAAAAGUUGGGAAAGUAACAGACCUGAGCGUAAUCCCUUGCCAGGUAAGAAAUUGCCUGUCUAGAGAGUGAUCUCUAGAAAAAAUUCGGCUAAUAACGGUGAAACCCAAGUUAUUUCUAUGUUAUAAUAAUAGAAGUAACGGGUAAUACCGUGGGAAGUCGUCCCGCUCUUUCUAUAUUUUGAAAACCGUUUUUCUACUUGUUUAGCAGUAGUAGAUAAUGAAGGCGGUUAAGAUUCGAAGUUUAGAAAGAGCGGGAUUGACCCCGUAACGACUCUAAUUGCUAAGCAAUUAGGAUGAUGGGGAGUUUUCUAAAAGAAAAUUUAACCAACAUAAUAUGCCGACUCUUAAUAAAGUGAAUUUAGAAUCCUAUAUAAGUGGAUACGUAGACGGAGAAGGAAGUUUUUGUGUCUCAAUGAGACCACGUAAAGGAAAUAUAGUGGGGUGGGAAGUAGUAGCAAGCUUUUCUGUCUCACAGAACGAAGACAGAUCAGAAGUGUUAUAUCUAAUCAGGAAUUAUUUCAAAUGUGGUUUUAUUAGGAAAAAUGUCAGCGAUAAGACGCUGAAAUACGAGACAAGAAACUUGAGUGAUUUAACUACAAAGAUAAUCCCUCACUUCGAAAUAUAUCCCCUACAAUCUGGCAGACAAAAAGAUUUUGAAAUCUUUAAGAAAGCUUGUCAGAAAAUGAGAAGAGGAGAACAUUUGAGGAAGAAGGGGUUAAUCGAAAUCGCUGAAUUAGUCUCUAAUAUGAAUCCUUCUGGAAGACGUCUCUAUCAAAAGAAUAUGAUUCUAUAUUCUCUGAAUAAGAUGAAGAUAUAGUCUGUACCAUUAGUAAUAAUGGAGUAAUGUGAAUUUCUGGCCCGCAUGAAUGGCUUAACGGCUGGGGAGCUGUCUCGACGAGGUGCUCGGUGAAAAUGCAAUCCCGGUAAAGAUGCCGGAUACUUGCGGCUAGACGGAAAGACCCCGGGAGCUUUACUAUAUCUAGAUAUUGGUCUUUGGUUUUGGAUGCAGAGAAUAGCGGGGAGGCUUUGAAGCUUCGCUUUCGGGCGGAGUGGAGCCGACAGUGGAAUACCCGUCUUUUAAAAUCUUAGUUCUAACCCGCCUUAGGCGGAGACAGUGUCUGGUGGGUAGUUUAAGUGGGGCGCUUUUCUCCUAAAAAGUAACGGAGAAGUUUAUAAGGUCAGCUAGCUCCGGAUGGAAAUCGGAGUGAUUGUACAAAGGCAUAAGCUGGCUUUACUGCAAGGCGGAUAUGCCAAGCAGUCUCGAAAGAGGAACUUAGUGAACCGACCUUGGUUCAUAGAACCGAGGAAGAUCAUCAAACAAAAGUUACCCCGGGGAUAGACCUAACUAUUAUGUUAUAAUAAUAGAAUAGGGUUGUUGUCCCCCGAGAGAGAGAUCUCUUGAUUAAAAAAU
rnacentral:rRNA from 1 species